GACGGACCCGCACAAGCGGUGGAUCAUGUUGUUUAAUUCGACGAUACGCGAAGAACCUUACCAGGUCUUGACAUCCCCUGCAAAGCUAUGGAGACAUAGUGGAGGUUAUCAGGGAGACAGGUGGUGCAUGGUUGUCGUCAGCUCGUGUCGUGAGAUGUUGGGUUAAGUCCCGCAACGAGCGCAACCCUUAUUGCUAGUUACCAUCAUUAAGUUGGGGACUCUAGCGAGACUGCCAGUGAUAAACUGGAGGAAAGGUGGGAAUGACGUCAAAUCAUCAUGCCCUUUAUGACCUGGGCUACAAACGUGAUACAAUGGCUGAAACAAAGGGCAGCGAAGGAGCGAUCUGGAGCGAAACCCAAAAAAGCAGUCUCAGUUCGGAUUGAAGUCUGCAACUCGACUUCAUGAAGUCGGAAUCGCUAGUAAUCGCGGAUCAGAACGCCGCGGUGAAUACGUUCUCGGGGUUU
rnacentral:rRNA from 1 species